rnacentral:rRNA from 1 species
UACAGAGGGUGCAAGCGUUAAUCGGACUUACUGGGCGUAAAGGGCGCGUAGGUGGAAUUUUAAGUCAGGUGUGAAAUCCCAGGGCUCAACCUUGGAAUUGCACUUGAUACUGGGAUUCUAGAGUAUGGUAGAGGGAAGGGGAAUUUCCGGUGUAGCGGUGAAAUGCGUAGAUAUCGGAAGGAACAUCAGUGGCGAAGGCGCCUUCCUGGACCAAUACUGACACUGAGGCGCGAAAGCGUGGGUAGCAAACAGG